rnacentral:rRNA from 1 species
UACGGAGGGGGCUAGCGUUGUUCGGAAUUACUGGGCGUAAAGCGCACGUAGGCGGCUUUGUAAGUUAGAGGUGAAAGCCCGGGGCUCAACUCCGAAAUUGCCUUUAAGACUGCAUCGCUAGAACGUCGGAGAGGUAAGUGGAAUUCCGAGUGUAGAGGUGAAAUUCGUAGAUAUUCGGAAGAACACCAGUGGCGAAGGCGACUUACUGGACGACUGUUGACGCUGAGGUGCGAAAGCGUGGGGAGCAAACAGG